AAGGCACAGAAUCGCUGAAGAAGCCAGAAGACAAAAAGCAGCUGGGAGAUUUCUUUGGCAUGUCCAACAGUUAUGCAGAGUGCUACCCAGCCACGAUGGAUGACAUGGCUGUGGAUAGUGAUGAGGAGGUGGAUUAUAGCAAAAUGGACCAGGGUAACAAGAAGGGGCCCUUAGGCCGUUGGGACUUUGAUACCCAGGAAGAAUACAGCGAGUAUAUGAACAACAA
rnacentral:misc_RNA from 1 species